GUGCUUCUAUCAGCAGCACAUAUACUAAACUUGGAAUGAUAUAGCAAAUAGCAUGGUACCUGGGCAAGAAUGACACACAAAUUCUUGAAGCGUUCCAUAUUUUU